UACGGGGGGGGCAAGCGUUGUUCGGAAUUACUGGGCGUAAAGGGCUCGUAGGCGGCCAACUAAGUCGGAUGUGAAAUCCCGGGGCUCAACCCCGGAACUGCCCUUGAAACUGGAGAGCUAGAAUCUUGGAGAGGCGAGUGGAAUUCCGAGUGUAGAGGUGAAAUUCGUAGAUAUUGGGAAGAACACCGGUGGCGAAGGCGGCGACCUGGUCCGAUACUGACGCUGAGGCGCGAAAGCGUGGGGAGCAAACAGG
rnacentral:rRNA from 1 species